AGCCCCGAGGUGUUAACACAUUAGAUUGCAAAUCUUAAGUGGCAGGCUAAUACCCUGCCGGGGCUU
rnacentral:tRNA from 1 species